UUUCGCCUACGGGACGCAGCAGUGGGGAAUAUUGGGCAAUGGGGGAACCCUGACCCAGCGACGCCGCGUGAGGGAAGAAGGUUUUCGGAUUGUAAACCUCUGUCCUUGGUGACGAUAAUGACGGUAGCCAAGGAGGAAGCCACGGCUAACUACGUGCCAGCAGCCGCGGUAAUACGUAGGUGGCGAGCGUUGUCCGGAAUUACUGGGGGUAAGGGGAGCGUAGGCGGGAGAGCAAGUCGACUGUGAAAUCUAUGGGCUUAACCAAUAGCU
rnacentral:rRNA from 1 species